rnacentral:rRNA from 1 species
GACGAACGCUGGCGGCGUGCCUAAUACAUGCAAGUCGAACGCUGAAGAGAGGAGCUUGCUCUUCUUGGAUGAGUUGCGAACGGGUGAGUAACGCGUAGGUAACCUGCCUUGUAGCGGGGGAUAACUAUUGGAAACGAUAGCUAAUACCGCAUAACAAUGGAUGACACAUGUCAUUUAUUUGAAAGGGGCAAUUGCUCCACUACAAGAUGGACCUGCGUUGUAUUAGCUAGUAGGUGAGGUAAUGGCUCACCUAGGCGACGAUACAUAGCCGACCUGAGAGGGGGAUCAGGCACACUGGGACUGAGACACGGCCCAGACUCCUACGGGAGGGAGCAGGAGGGAAACUUCGGGAAUGGGGGCAACCCUGAACGAGCAACGCCGCGUGAGGGGAGAAGGGUGUCGGAUCGUAAAGCUCUGUUGUAAGUCAAGAACGGGUGUGAGAGUGGAAAGUUCACACUGUGACGGUAGCUUACCAGAAAGGGACGGCUAACUACGUG